rnacentral:lncRNA from 1 species
CCUGCGCAGGCAGAACAGCAGCUUCCUCCCAUGGGAUCCCAAGCCUGGCCUUGCGCCUGAGGACGCCACCCACCCCCUGCCCCCUCACCUCAUGGAGCUUCUGCUGCCCGCCCCAGACCCAGCAGCCCCUCCACCAGGACACUGACAAGCGCGUUUAACAGAGAAGUUUGACAGCAUGCACAGUGAUUGCCCAGAGGUUUUCCAGGGAGCUGACGAAGCAGCGUCUGCCAUGUGAAGAAAACAAGGCCAAACACGUGAGGGUGGCUGAGCUGUCCUCUCCCAUCCCCAGCCCCCCUGCGUGGAAUGACCUUCAGAGGCUUGCCCACAGCCCCCGCUUCAGUGCAGAAAGGACCCCUCCUGCGGGGCUGGCCCCGUGGCCGAGUGGUUAAGUUCGCGCGCUCUGCUGCAGGCGGCCCAGUGUUUCGUUGGUUCGAAUCCUGGGCGCGGACAUGGCACUGCUCAUCAGACCACGCUGAGGCAGCGUCCCACAUGCCACAACUAGAAGAACCCACAACAAAGAAUACACAACUAUGUACCGGGGGGCUUUGGGGAGAAAAAUGAAAAAAUAAAAUCUUUAAAAAAAAAAAAAAAAAAAGAAA